AACUUUCAACAAUGGAUCUCUUGGUCUGCAUCGAUGAAGAACGCAGCGAAAUGCGAUAAGUAGUGUGAAUUGCAGACUUUAGUGAAUCAUCGAAUCUUUGAACGCACAUUGCGCCCCUUGGUAUUCCAUUGGGCAUGCCUGUUCGAGCGUCAUU
rnacentral:rRNA from 1 species